UACGUAGGGUGCAAGCGUUGUCCGGAAUUAUUGGGCGUAAAGAGCUCGUAGGCGGUUUGUCGCGUCUGCUGUGAAAACCCGAGGCUCAACCUCGGGCCUGCAGUGGGUACGGGCAGACUAGAGUGCGGUAGGGGGAGAUUGGAAUUCCUGGUGUAGCGGUGGAAUGCGCAGAUAUCAGGAGGAACACCGAUGGCGAAGGCAGAUCUCUGGGCCGUAACUGACGCUGAGGAGCGAAAAGCAUGGGGAGCGAACAGG
rnacentral:rRNA from 1 species